rnacentral:rRNA from 1 species
GACAGAGGGUGCAAACGUUGUUCGGAUUUACUGGGCGUAAAGCGCGUGUAGGCGGCUUUGCAAGUCGGAUGUGAAAUCCCACGGCUCAACCGUGGAAGUGCAUCCGAAACUGCAUCGCUGGAGUCUCGGAGAGGAAGGUGGAAUGCUUGGUGUAGAGGUGAAAUUCGUAGAUACCAAGCAGAACACCUGCGGCGAAGGCGGCCUUCUGGACGAUGACUGACGCUGAGACGCGAAAGCGUGGGGAGCAAACGGG